rnacentral:rRNA from 1 species
AUUGAACGCUGGCGGCAUGCUUUACACAUGCAAGUCGAACGGUAACAGGCCGCAAGGUGCUGACGAGUGGCGAACGGGUGAGUAAUGCAUCGGAACGUGCCCAGUCGUGGGGGAUAACGCAGCGAAAGCUGCGCUAAUACCGCAUACGAUCGAUGGAUGAAAGCGGGGGACCGUAAGGCCUCGCGCGAUUGGAGCGGGCGAUGUCAGAUUAGGUAGUUGGUGGGGUAAAGGCUCACCAAGCCAACGAUCUGUAGCUGGUCUGAGAGGACGACCAGCCACACUGGGACUGAGACACGGCCCAGACUCCUACGGGAGGCAGCAGUGGGGAAUUUUGGACAAUGGGCGCAAGCCUGAUCCAGCAAUGCCGCGUGCAGGAAGAAGGCCUUCGGGUUGUAAACUGCUUUUGUACGGAACGAAACGGCUCUGGUUAAUACCUGGGGCUAAUGACGGUACCGUAAGAAUAAGCACCGGCUAACUACGUGCCAGCCGCCGCUGUAAAAC